UACGUAGGGGGCGAGCGUUUGUCCGGAUUUAUUGGGCGUAAAGAGCGUGUAGGCGGCCAGGUAGGUCUGCUGUGAAAACUCGAGGCUUAACCUCGAGCUGUCGGCGGAAACCAUCUGGCUAGAGUCCGGAAGAGGAGAAUGGAAUUCCCGGUGUAGCGGUGAAAUGCGCAGAUAUCGGGAAGAACACCCGUGGCGAAGGCGGUUCUCUGGGACGGUACUGACGCUGAGACGCGAAAGCGUGGGGAGCGAACAGG
rnacentral:rRNA from 1 species